AUGCCUCCUCUCUUUCCCUUAGUUCCUUUCUUUCCAUCUUCCUGGCUCUUUUCACCUUUUCUUACUGUUUCCUCCUUUUCCUCUUUCAUUACCUUUUUUUCUAGUAUCUCCCUCUCUCUUGCUCCUCUUAGCCCUCCAUCUCCACCUUGGCCCUCUGUGCCUCCCUCAGCUGUUAUUCCCAGCCAGCACUCUCUGGUUCACUUCUGCUGCUCCCUGGAUCUUAGGAAUCUCAGGCCCCUCUUAGAGGUGGAAGGAAGAGCCGAGCUACUCUCUACCUGCUAUAAGAGCGUAUUCUGCCUGCCCGCUGUGGAGGCUCUGCAGAAGGAAGCUUCCAGUCCCAAGGAGGCCCAGGCCAAUGUGGAGCUGUUCAGGGAGACCCUGCAAUCCCUCCGAAGACUAUUGGAGACUCUUGUCGUUGAGAAGCCCACUUGGACCUGGUACUGGUUGGAGCUUCUGGACACAUGGCUGAAUUCCCAGAAGGACAAUGAACGGGAACGGGCCAUGUGGUGCACUGCCUGUAUCCUUGGUUUUACUGCAAAAAUGAACAACUUUGAAGGCAGGAGAGGGACGAGGUGA
rnacentral:lncRNA from 1 species